rnacentral:rRNA from 1 species
CAGCAGCCGCGGGAAUACGAAGGGGGCUAGCGUUGUUCGGAUUUACUGGGCGUAAAGCGUGCGUAGGCGGCUUUUUAAGUCGGAUGUGAAAUCCCUGAGCUUAACUUAGGAAUUGCAUUCGAUACUGGGAAGCUAGAGUAUGGGAGAGGAUGGUAGAAUUCCAGGUGUAGCGGUGAAAUGCGUAGAGAUCUGGAGGAAUACCGAUGGCGAAGGCAGCCAUCUGGCCUAAUACUGACGCUGAGGUACGAAAGCAUGGGGAGCAAACAGGAUUAGAUACCCCGGUAGUCCCUGUCUCUUAUAC